rnacentral:sRNA from 1 species
CGAUAUACAAGCAUAUUGAUGACCAGCU